AUGGCUGAAGCAAAUAUGUGCCUCGUCAUCCACAACAACACAAGCAUCCAUUGCGCUGCCACCAAAUUGCUCCAUCACAUCGAUCUCCACAGAAAACACCAAGCCCUACCGCUGGUGAUGGCAUUCUCCGACGAGUACAGGGAGGUGGAGGCCCACGACAACACCAAGUUGCACGUCAUCCACACCAACGACAAGAAGCAGAUGGCGACCUCCCUCGCUCAUUACGAGCGCCACCUCAGGCUCCAGCGCCACAAGAUCGUCCGGAUUGAUCUCGAGUACAACAACGAGCCUGAAGCGAUGCAGAAACCCGCCCUUGUCCAACUCUCCAUCGGCAAGACUCAGCCGGUGCUCCUCUUCCAACUGAGCACCGCUAAAAGGUGCACCAUCUUUGACAACUUCCUCGCCGACCCCAGGUAUACCUUUGCUGGCUUCUCCAUCGAUGUUGACAAAACUAGGCUAGAGCGCGUCAAUCUGGAGGUCGCCAACUUCGUCGACAUCCAGAAGGAGUGGAGGGUGCCCGAGGCCACCAAGGAGUUGGACUCCCUUGGAGACGUCUCCGGCAUGCUCAUCGACGACUACUACAACAACAUGAAGAAGAAGAUCACCGACGAAGAACACAUGCACUGGGCCGACCUGCCUCUGUCCAUGAUGCACAUCGAGUAUGCGGCAAAGGAUGCCUACGCAACAUACGAGAUAUGUAACUGCAUCACCCUCACCCAGGACGGGCUUUGCCGUGCAAAGCUAGAGAAGGAGGAGCCCCCUAAUAAGCGCGCCAGGAGCAGAUGGGGAGACUAUGCCUGGUGA
rnacentral:rRNA from 1 species